CGGAAGUAAUGGAAGGGACAGUCUUGGAAGGGGCGCGACACGAGCGCGAGGCGGCGCUGUGGAGACUGGAGAAUGGCGUUUGCAGGGAAAGCGGAGGUUGGACUGGAGCGUCGCCCAGUUCGCCGCAGCUCGUCCAUUCGAGCAGCGGGGUAGAACACGACCCUGCCUUUCCGGAGGCGUCCUUUCUAGCCCAGACUUUGCUCCCCGGGAGCCUCACGCUGCCUCUCAUUACUUAGCCCCUGCUCGUUUUCUCCUUAAGUCUGUAUGUUCCGUAGCACCUUGCUCAGGAUGCCAACUCUUGUCGGUAAUAACUUAGUGUCUCACCUUGCCCAGCACCCUCUUUUGGCAAGUGAGCCCCGAGUUCCAAAGAGGAGAAAUGAUUCUCUAAGGCUGCGGAGCAAGUUGGAACCAGCUGAGGACGCCUCACGGGGUUGAAGUGGAGAAAGUACUUGUCGAGGCAUCAGAAUACCUGCCGUGUCCUCAGUAUGUGCCAGGUCAGUGGUCCACAAAGCGCGUUUCUGGACCGGCAGCGGCCACAUGGCCUGGAAAGUGGGUUACAGAUGUAAAUUCUCGGACCUCCUCAGAAAUUCGGGGGGCCGGCCUGUACCCCGCAUUUAGCUCCCCGCUACCCAGUCAGGCGAGACCGAGGCACACCGCUGUGUGCAGGGGGACUCAUGGCGGCAAAGCAGGUUGCCCAGAAUCGUGCAACUAGUACCCGGGUUUGUCUGACUUUAAAAUUUGUACUUUUAACCUAAGCUUUAAGUUUUAAAGAAUAACAGUAAGGCCCUAACGUCACCGGUUUGGCUCAGUGGAUGGAGCGUCAGCCUGCGGACUCAAGGGCCCCAGGUUCGAUUCCGGUCAAGGGCAUGUACCUUGAUUGCGGGCACAUCCCCAGUGGGGCGUGUGCAGGAGGCAGCUGAUCGAUGUUUCUGACUCUCUAUCCCUCUCCCUUCCUCUCUGUAAAAAUAUCAAUAAAAUAUAUAUUUAAAAAAAAAAACAACAAUAAGGUCAAAACAGCCUUUGCGUACAUGUUAACAUUCACUGCAGUUCUCCACCUUAGGUGAGCAAGAGAGUCUCCUGGAGAGCUUUUCCAGAAUUCCGCAGCUGGGGUUUCCCACCGCAGUCUAACCCCAAGAUCCUGUUGAGGAGGUUGCGUGGGGCUGGACCCCAGAGGCCCUAUUAGACAUUACUCUGUCUGGACCCGACCUGGGUGUACACCUUUACCCUAACUUUCCCAUGGAUCUUGUUCUUUUGGGCCCUACCUCUUUUCUGAACCCCUUUCCCUCCCAUAUGCAAACUAUGGUGAGGCCUAACAAGCUCACUCCGGUUAGAAAGUGCACCAUCGGUAUAAACCUUCUUUUACAGGCUCCCUGGUGGUCUGCAGCACAGGAGGGAAACUGACCCCUCUCAGAGAAUAUUGGAAGGCUAGCCCGUGGUCAAAUACAAGGAAGGGAGGAGGAAGCCACCAAAAGGACUUCACUUUUCUGGUUUGCAGCUUAACCUGGAUCACUCUGGCUCCUGUUUGGAGGACUGGACCAGAGUGAGACGACUGUGAAAGUUACUCGGAGAGAGUGGAAGAGAAGGGGAGAUACAGAGAGAGAAGCAUUGAUGUGAAAGAGACACAUUAAUUGAUUGCUUCCCACACCUACCCUGGCCUGACCCUAGACUGGGGAUGGAGCCUGUAACUGAGGUACAUGCCGUUGACCAGAAUAGAACUCGUGACCCUUUAGUCUGUGGGCCAACAUUCUUAAACACUGAGAAAAAACAGCUAGAACUAUUUAUUUAUUUAUUUAUUUUAAUGUUUUUAUUGAUUUUUUUGAGAGACAGAAAGAGGGAGAGAUAGAAACAUCUAUCAGCUGUCUCCUGCAUGCCCCCUACUGGUGAUCGAGCCCGCAACAUGGGCAUGUGCCCUGGCUGGGAGUCGUACUGGUGACCCCUUGAUGUAUGGGACAAUGUUCAAUCCACUGAGCCAAACUGGCCGGGCUAAUGCUAUUUUAAAUAAAAUUAUUGUCUUGAUUUC